UACUCUUGUGCCUGUGACGUCAGUGUGUAAGGUUAGAUCGCUCCCAUUAGAAACCAACUCCAAUUAAACAAGAUGCUUCCCCUCAGAAGGCAGUACCAUCUCGCUGUGGUCAAACACGUUCGCUCAGAAGGUUUCAGUGAAGUCCCUGCUGGAAGAGAAGUCUGGAUCAAUGGCAGCUUUUCGGAGCAUGAUGACCGAGUGGGCGGCCCUCAGUUCCGUAACCGUAAAAGUCGUGGGCCACCCAGGGGACGUGUGUACAGUGAGCAUGUACAUCAGAGACCGCGAGGGGGUCCCACAGGAGGCUUCGGCCCUGGUUCCUUGGCCAGGUUUGUGGAUGAAGACGGAGAUGUCAACAUGAACGAUGGCCAGGAUGGGGCUUUCCAGGGGAGAUUCAACCCGUAUGGCCGGGCCAACCGACGAGGGGAUGGCCGAAUUGCUCGAGACAGAAGAGGAGCCGUCGGGAGAUACAGGCCAGGAGGAGGAAAUCAGUUAUCAGGCAACGCAGAAAGACAAGGUGGUGCACCAAUCUCAGGAAAAUCCAAAACUUGGUACAAAAUAACGAUCCCUUAUGGCAAGAAAUAUGAUAAGAGAUGGCUUUUGAAUGCUCUGCAGAAUCUCUGCCCCAUACCUUUUACUCCAGUACAUUAUUCCACGGAGGGGCAGAAAGUGCAGUUCUACGUAGAGGACGACAACACUGCCAGUGCCUUGCGCAAUAUCUCCCGCAGGAUCACAGAUAAUGAAGGAUAUAAGGUGGUUGUGAUUAUAAACCCCUGUUCUCCACCAUCCUUCCUUCGGAGUGACCUGAAAGACCAGGACCUUGAACACUUAAAGCAAUGCAUGUCCAAGCGAUUUGAUUCCUCAGAGCAAUUUCUUGACCUGAACAGCAUUCGCAGUGAUCAAGAUUUGAUCUCCCAGAACAUCGAUGUAAUUUUGAGCAGGAAGAGCUGCAUGGAAGCUGUGAUAAAGAUCAUUAAAGAGAAUAUCCCACAACUGACUGCUCUAAACCUAAGCAAUAACAAGCUCUACAAGCUGGAUGACCUUACAGAGCUGGUGAGCAUAGCUCCAAACCUAAGGACUCUCAAUCUGUCGCAUAACGAGCUGAAGUCUGAGCGGGAGCUGGACAAGCUGAAGAGCUUGAAGCUAACAGAGCUGUGGCUGGAUCGCAAUCCUCUGUGUGAUCACUUUACAGACCAGGCAACAUAUAUCAGUGCUAUUCGUGGACGAUUCCCCAGACUUAUCAAACUGGACGGCCACAGUCUUCCUGCACCAAUAGGUUUUGAUGUUGAAACCCGCACUGCUGUUCCAUCUUGUAAGGGCAGCUACUUUGUUUCAGGGGAAGUCAAGGAAUUCAUUCUGCGUUUUCUGCAUCAAUUCUACAGCGUGUAUGACUCGGGAAACAGACAGCCUCUGCUAGACGCAUAUCAUGAUGGGGCCUGCUUCUCCCUCAGCCUUCCCUCCAUGCACAACCUCUCCAAGUCUAACUUGGGAGAAUAUCAAAAUCACAAUCGCAACAUUAAGAGAAUCAAAGACCCAGUGACGCGGUUCCGGGUAUUGAAGCACACUCGACUGAACGUAGUUGCCUUCCUGAAUGAAUUGCCCAAAACCCAGCAUGACUUAGCCUCUUUCAAUGUGGAUGUAAACACAUGCACACAAACGUUACUGGUGUUUACAGUCAGUGGGGUGUUUAAGGACAUUGACGUCAAGUCAAAAGAAUCUACUCGUGCCUUCUCCCGGGUCUUUGUUGCAGUUCCAGCCAUGAAUAAUGGGCUAUGUUUAGUCAAUGAUGCGCUAUUUAUGAGGAACGCUACCACUGAAGAGAUCCGCCGUGCGUUUGCCACACCCGCCCCGACCCCAUCCAGCAGCCCCGUGUCCACCCACUCUCCCACCCAACAGGAGAUGAUCUCCACCUUCUCCCAAAAGUCUCAGAUGAAUCUCGAGUGGUCCCAAAAGUGAGUGGAGAACUUUGACUAUGUAAAGGUGGCUACAACAGAAUGAAUGGGACUUCAACCGAGCUGUUCAGCUCUUUACAGAACUCAAGGCUCAGGGCUCCAUAUCAGAGGUGGCGUUCACAUAGUGAAGAUGGAUCAGAAUAGUCCUGUGUUUAGCAAAUCAAACUGCUGUAUAAAAGUAAAAAGGAAAGUUGUUUUUUUAAUUUUUUUUUUUAAAUGAUUAUUUUAUAUUGUUUGGUGUUUUCUGUGUUUCUUGAUGUUAUUAUAGCUCAGGCUGGACUGAGAAUUAAACACUAAGAGCAAUUCUGUUAUUCCGUUACCAUGUUUUAAUUAUUUUUAUUUGUGUUCAGGACAGCGCUUGUUAGAUACAGCAUUAAAACAGCAAUAAAAAUCUGUUGUUACUGUACAUCCUUUUAAAAAGUGUUUUGAAAAAAAUUUGCUGCCAAAUUAUUUCCUGUUUUCUGGUUUUGUACUCUGAAGUACCAAGAGAGUACAGAGGAGUGGAGCUCUCUCAACUUUGGUUUAUGUAAACAACAAAGAUAACUCAACUCUGGUACUGUAAUUUAAUGGAAAUGUAAAUCAUAGCGUGGCAUAAUGGUGAUGAUAAUAAUAAUGUGAUACAGUUUCACACUGCUUUAUUUAUUUCUUAUUUCAGUCAAGGAAUUUGUUACCUGUUGUGUAUAUACAAUUAAAAAUUAGAGCAAAA